UUAUUUUCUGAAUAAUUACCAGAUUUAGCUUUAGGAGCUGUGGUUCUUUUGUAUCGCCGUAAUUAGUAUGUGGUGGAUACCUAGAUUAGUGUAGGUUGGGAUUACGCUCGUGCUGGGAUGUCGAGGUCGUUUUACAGUAAUGUAUAUACUGUUUUGCACUGUCGAGUGCCGUUGCAGUUGACGAUGGACUCAGAUUUCUAUUUUUUGUAUCAGAUUAUGCCAAGGGCACGUGAGUUUUGGUGGCU
rnacentral:lncRNA from 1 species